UACGGGGGGAGCAAGCGUUGUUCGGAUUUACUGGGCGUAAAGGGCGCGUAGGCGGUCGUGACAAGUCACUUGUGAAAUCUCCGGGCUUAACUCGGAACGGUCAAGUGAUACUGUCGGACUAGAGUACAGAAGGGGCAACUGGAAUUCUCGGUGUAGCGGUGAAAUGCGUAGAUAUCGAGAGGAACACCUGCGGCGAAGGCGGGUUGCUGGGCUGACACUGACGCUGAGGCGCGAAGGCCAGGGGAGCAAACGGG
rnacentral:rRNA from 1 species